UAUGGCCACAUCACAUAGAAGCACCCGCUCUCGUACGAUAACUGAUGUUAAGCCAAGUUGAACCUGGUCAGUAUCUAGAUGCGUGACCGCUUGGAAAUAGCUGGUGCUAUA